rnacentral:tRNA from 2 species
CGCCGUCGUGGAACGCGAGGCCGUUCGGCCGAUGCAGACCGCUGGCGAUCACCUUGACCACGUUGCCGUUCGGGCCUGGCACGACGGCGU